UACGUAGGGGGCUAGCGUUAUCCGGAAUUACUGGGCGUAAAGGGUGCGUAGGUGGUUUCUUAAGUCAGAGGUGAAAGGCUACGGCUCAGCCGUAGUAAGCCUUUGAAACUGGGGAACUUGAGUGCAGAAGAGGAGAGUGGAAUUCCUAGUGUAGCGGUGAAAUGCGUAGAUAUUAGGAGGAACACCAGUUGCGAAGGCGGCUCUCUGGACUGUAACUGACACUGAGGCACGAAAGCGUGGGGAGCAAACAGG
rnacentral:rRNA from 1 species